rnacentral:lncRNA from 1 species
UCCUCUUAGGUUUUCAACGGCCAUGAUUCAACCUUCCAUAUAUUAUUAUUUUUGUUGGAUAAAUUGAUAUUAAAUUAAUUUUAUUUAAUUAUGAAAAGUUAUAAUAUAAAUUGUAAGGACAAGUACAACUACAUGUCUGAUAAACUACAAUAUUAUGUAGAAUCAACAAAUACGAUACACAACAUGCGGAGAAUUGGACAAAAUCCAAAAAAAAA